CAGCAGUCGCCACGGGAAUACGAGGGGGGCAAGCGUUGUUCGGAAUUAUUGGGCGUAAAGGGCGCGUAGGCGGUUUGGCAAGUUUCGUGUGAAAUCUUCGGGCUCAACUCGAAGUCUGCACGGAAAACUGCCGGGCUUGAGUAUGGGAGAGGUGAGUGGAAUUUCCGGUGUAGCGGUGAAAUGCGUAGAUAUCGGAAGGAACACCUGUGGCGAAAGCGGCUCACUGGACCAUAACUGACGCUGAUGCGCGAAAGCUAGGGGAGCAAACAGGAUUAGAUACCCCCGUAGUCCCUGUCUCUUAUAC
rnacentral:rRNA from 1 species